rnacentral:lncRNA from 1 species
GUGUAUGCCUUCCAUACACAGGCGUGCCAUACUCAUGCUUAGAAGGGCAUCGCGCAUGCGCCUGUCUGUCUGAACCUUGUGGCAGCGGGGCUGUGUUUUUCAUGUUCGCGCAGUCUCGACAACUAUGUAAAUAGAACGUCUAAAUUAUGAGUGUUCUUAGAGUUUCUUGCCUUUUGUUCUGCAUCCACAUGUCCUUAUGAGUUACACAUUAUUCUGCAGUUUGGACAGACGUCGUGGAAGAGUAUGCUAGGUUUUCUAAACCUUCGUGAUUACAUGACACAUCCAUAGAGCUUCUGAUUUUCCAGGAAGAUUGGAAAUCCACAAGUCUUUUUACCGUAUCUAGGCAAGGGAGUAGUUCUGGAUUAAAGAUGAGUAAUUUCAACUCAAGUGUCUUCCAGUUUACUUCUUA